GCUGAUUAAGAGGUCGACAUGGAGGCUAUGAAAACGGAAUUGCCACUACCUGCGAGUAGCAAAUUUAUCCAGCUCAUAUAGGCGUCUACACUUCAGCAUAGCAGUGAGACAAGUUCUGAUUUAUUUGAUGGAUCUCGACAACAUAUGUUUUGGAAGUCGGUUGGGCAAUGAUGGGCGGCGACAGGCCAACAGUCGGGGAGCGACGCAAAAAUUGUAAUGACAGACAUGAUGUGAUAAUGGAUGUUUUCUUCACUAAUAUGUGUAGGCAAAGAGAAAGAAAGAC